rnacentral:rRNA from 1 species
UACGAAGGGGGCUAGCGUUGCUCGGAAUCACUGGGCGUAAAGCGCACGUAGGCGGCUUGCUAAGUCAGGGGUGAAAUCCUGGAGCUCAACUCCAGAACUGCCUUUGAUACUGGCGAUCUCGAGUCCGGGAGAGGUGAGUGGAACUGCGAGUGUAGAGGUGAAAUUCGUAGAUAUUCGGAAGAACACCAGUGGCGAAGGCGGCUCACUGGCCCGGUACUGACGCUGAUGUGCGAAAGCGUGGGGAGCAAACAGG